rnacentral:rRNA from 1 species
AUUGAACGCUGGCGGCAGGCCUAACACAUGCAAGUCGAACGAGUGGCGGACGGGUGAGUAAUGUCUGGGAAACUGCCUGAUGGAGGGGGAUAACUACUGGAAACGGUAGCUAAUACCGCAUACCAUCAGAUGUGCCCAGAUGGGAUUAGCUUUUUGGUGGGGUAACGGCUCACCAAGGCGACGAUCCCUAGCUGGUCUGAGAGGAUGACCGGCCACACUGGAACUUGGAGACGGUCCGGACUCCUACGGUAGGCAGCAGUGGGAAAUAUUGCACAGUGGGCGAAAGCCUGAUUCAGCCAUGCGGCGUGUAUGAAGAGGGCCUUCGGGUUUUAAAGUACUUUCAGCGGGAAGGCGGUACCCGCAGAAGAAGCACCUGCUAACUCCGUGCCAGCAGCCGCGGUAAUAC